UGCAAGUAGAACGCUGAAGAGAGGAGCUUGCUCUUCUUGGAUGAGUUGCGAACGGGUGAGUAACGCGUAGGUAACCUGCCUUGUAGCGGGGGAUAACUAUUGGAAACGAUAGCUAAUACCGCAUAACAAUGGAUGACACAUGUCAUUUAUUUGAAAGGGGCAAUUGCUCCACUACAAGAUGGACCUGCGUUGUAUUAGCUAGUAGGUGAGGUAAUGGCUCACCUAGGCGACGAUACAUAGCCGACCUGAGAGGGUGAUCGGCCACACUGGGACUGAGACACGGCCCAGACUCCUACGGGAGGCAGCAGUAGGGAAUCUUCGGCAAUGGGGGCAACCCUGACCGAGCAACGCCGCGUGAGUGAAGAAGGUUUUCGGAUCGUAAAGCUCUGUUGUAAGUCAAGAACGGGUGUGAGAGUGGAAAGUUCACACUGUGACGGUAGCUUACCAGAAAGGGACGGCUAACUACGUGCCAGCAGCCGCGGUAAUACGUAGGUCCCGAGCGUUGUCCGGAUUUAUUGGGCGUAAAGCGAGCGCAGGCGGUUUGAUAAGUCUGAAGUUAAAGGCUGUGGCUCAACCAUAGUUCGCUUUGGAAACUGUCAAACUUGAGUGCAGAAGGGGAGAGUGGAAUUCCAUGUGUAGCGGUGAAAUGCGUAGAUAUAUGGAGGAACACCGGUGGCGAAAGCGGCUCUCUGGUCUGUAACUGACGCUGAGGCUCGAAAGCGUGGGGAGCGAACAGGAUUAGAUACCCUGGUAGUCCACGCCGUAAACGAUGAGUGCUAGGUGUUGGAUCCUUUCCGGGAUUCAGUGCCGCAGCUAACGCAUUAAGCACUCCGCCUGGGGAGUACGACCGCAAGGUUGAAACUCAAAGGAAUUGACGGGGGCCCGCACAAGCGGUGGAGCAUGUGGUUUAAUUCGAAGCAACGCGAAGAACCUUACCAGGUCUUGACAUCCCGAUGCUAUUUCUAGAGAUAGAAAGUUACUUCGGUACAUCGGUGACAGGUGGUGCAUGGUUGUCGUCAGCUCGUGUCGUGAGAUGUUGGGUUAAGUCCCGCAACGAGCGCAACCCCUAUUGUUAGUUGCCAUCAUUCAGUUGGGCACUCUAGCGAGACUGCCGGUAAUAAACCGGAGGAAGGUGGGGAUGACGUCAAAUCAUCAUGCCCCUUAUGACCUGGGCUACACACGUGCUACAAUGGUUGGUACAACGAGUUGCGAGUCGGUGACGGCGAGCUAAUCUCUUAAAGCCAAUCUCAGUUCGGAUUGUAGGCUGCAACUCGCCUACAUGAAGUCGGAAUCGCUAGUAAUCGCGGAUCAGCACGCCGCGGUGAAUACGUUCCCGGGCCUUGUACACACCGCCCGUCACACCACGAGAGUUUGUAACACCCGAAGUCGGUGAGGUAACCUUUUGGAGCCAGCCGCCU
rnacentral:rRNA from 1 species